rnacentral:rRNA from 1 species
GACGAACGCUGGCGGCGUGCUUAACACAUGCAAGUCGAGCGGUAAGGCCCUUUCGGGGGUACACGAGCGGCGAACGGGUGAGUAACACGUGGGUGACCUGCCCUUAGCUCUGGGAUAAGCCUGGGAAACUGGGUCUAAUACCGGAUAUGACUCCAUGACGCAUGUUGUGGGGUGGAAAGCCUUGUGCGGCUAGGGAUGGGCCCGCGGCCUAUCAGCUUGUUGGUGGGGGUGAUGGCCUACCAAGGCGACGACGGGUAGCCGGCCUGAGAGGGCGACCGGCCACACUGGGACUGAGACACGGCCCAGACUCCUACGGGAGGCAGCAGUGGGGAAUCUUGCGCAAUGGGCGAAAGCCUGACGCAGCGACGCCGCGUGAGGGAUGACGGCCU